GGCCACAAAUAAAGCACAUCCUUUGAUAUCUGUGGAUUGAGCAGAGACGUGACUUGAGAGAGACAGAGAUUGAGGGCUGAUUCUUUGAUUUCCAUCGAUUUUUGAUGAUUUUGAUCUGGAAAAUCUGUUCUCCCUCUUGACUUGAGCGUUUAUCUUCGAGAUUGUUCGACUCUCUCUGAUCUAAAUCGAUCUAGGGCUCAAGACAGUGCAUUAACAUUGCCGAGGUCAUUGAGAAUGAGUGGUUUAAGAAGGGAUAUAAGCCUCCUGUUUUUGAAAAUGAGGAUGUUUGUCUCGACAAUGUGGAUGCUAUUUUCAAUGAAUCAAGGGACACUCAAAGCCUUGUCGUGGAAAGACGGGAAGAACAACCUGUGAAUCUUGUCUCCAUGAAUGCUUUUGAAUACUUAUAUCUAAAUCUUAGGGUCUCAACCUCAGUUCUCUGUUUGAAAAGCAAAUGACCCUGAACUGAAGCUUCAAGAGGAGAAAACUGGGUGCAAGGGUCAUUUAUCUAUUGCAACAGAGAUUUAUGAGAUGGCUCCCUCACUUUCACUUUGCAUGGUUGAGCUUCUCAAGGCUGGAGGGGACACCUUAGAAUUUCAUAAGGAAAAGUAGUUUCUAAAGGAUAGCUGAGUAGUGAAAUAUGAUUUGGAAUGAUCUUCAACUUUGGCUUAGAAAUUCUUAUUGUAGUCAUCGAGUUCAUGUAGUUCAAGAAGAUAUGUUGCAAUGUCAUUGAUUCAACACCAUCUCCCAGGCUUUAUAAUUGAACUGAUCAAAACUCAAUGUUAGAGGGUCUUUUUUUGGUUAUAAGUUUGUUUAUCUGUUGAUCGGGUGCGCUCUCAUUUUCAUAUUUUUUUUUUAAUAGGGUGUUAAUAGUGUCAACAAACUGACUUCUAGUUGCAAAGUAUAGAUUUGGAGGUUUGCAAAAAAACAUAGGGGUGAUUUGAAGAAAAUUCAAACUGUUACAGUAUGAUUGAGAUUUGGAAAGUUGUAGGGUUAAAUCUCCAAAGAGAUAAAUUAAAAUUUUUAUGGUCUUCAAUUUGGCAUUGUAAUUCAAAUUUGAGUCAAUCUGUGUUCAU